ACGUGUAGCAGUGAAAUGCGUAGAGAUGUGGAGGAAUACCGAUGGCGAAGGCAGCCCCCUGGGAUAAUACUGACGUUCAUGCUCGAAAGCGUGGGUAGCAAACAGGAUUAGAUACCCUGUAGUNCACGCCCUAAACGAUGUCAAUUAGCUGUUGGGCAACUUGAUUGCUUAGUAGCGUAGCUAACGCGUGAAAUUGACCGCCUGGGGAGUACGGUCGCAAGAUUAAAACUCAAAGGAAUUGACGGGGACCCGCACAAGCGGUGGAUGAUGUGGAUUAAUUCGAUGCAACGCGAAGAACCUUACCUGGUCUUGACAUGUACGGAAUCUUUCAGAGACGGAAGAGUGCCUUCGGGAACCGUAACACAGGUGCUGCAUGGCUGUCGUCAGCUCGUGUCGUGAGAUGUUGGGUUAAGUCCCGCAACGAGCGCAACCCUUGUCAUUAGUUGCCAUCAUUAAGUUGGGCACUCUAAUGAGACUGCCGGUGACAAACCGGAGGAAGGUGGGGAUGACGUCAAGUCCUCAUGGCCCUUAUGACCAGGGCUUCACACGUCAUACAAUGGUCGGUACAAAGGGUAGCCAAGCCGCGAGGUGGAGCCAAUCUCAGAAAACCGAUCGUAGUCCGGAUUGCACUCUGCAACUCGAGUGCAUGAAGUCGGAAUCGCUAGUAAUCGCAGGUCAGCAUACUGCGGUGAAUACGUUCCCGGGUCUUGUACACACCGCCCGUCACACCAUGGGAGUGGGGGAUACCAGAAGUAGGUAGGCUAACCGCAAGGAGG
rnacentral:rRNA from 1 species